rnacentral:misc_RNA from 1 species
GGCAGCAGGUGGGUGGAGCUAAAAAUGGGGGAGGAGGAGGGAGGUGAAAGAGUAGUGAGAUUUUAAUGGCAGAGAUGUGAUGGGAAUGGUCAAACUGUUCCCUAAAAUGGCAGGAUAGGGAGAAAGUUUGUAAAUAACUUACUGUUUAUUUUUUUCCUCUGAAAUUUAUUUUCCUCUAUUUUUUGAAAGAAAACAAAAGUUUAGUGUGCUGUAGUUAGCAGAAGUGAGCAACAAAUGUGUGGUUUGUUUAAGAUUGGUCAAGAAGAUGUAGGAGAGGUGAAAUGAGGAAAUGACUGGCGUGAGAACUUGUUUUAAAGCGACAUUUUGAAAGGAAGAGAUUCAGCAGAUUUCAAGAGAGAUGUGAGGACAUUAUAUAAGCGAGAUGGUGCUUUGUUUUGAACAGCCGGAAAGUGAGAGUUACCCAGACUGACAAUUAUAUAUAAGUUUUAUAUAUAUAUAUAAAUGUGAGAUCAUGUUCUUGUUAAAGAGAUGGUGUAAGUGUUGUAUAAAGAGUUACGUUUGUUGUUGUGAAGUAAAAUAGAUACUCGACUGAG